rnacentral:rRNA from 1 species
CCUGGUUGAUCUUGCCAGUAGUCAUAUGCUUGUCUCAAAGAUUAAGCCAUGCAAGUGAAAGUAUAUAUAUAUUUUAUAUGUAGAAACUGCGAACGGCUCAUUAAAACAGUUAUAGUCUACUUGACAUUUUUAUUAUAAGGAUAACUACGGAAAAGCUGUAGCUAAUACUUGCUUUAUUAUCCUUUGAUUUUUAUCUUUGGAUAAGUAUUUGUUAGGCCUUAUAAGAAAAAAGUUAUUAACUUAAGGAAUUAUAACAAAGAAGUAACACGUAAUAAAUUUAUUUUAUUUAGUGUGUAUCAAUCGAGUUUCUGACCUAUCAGCUUUUGAUGUUAGGGUAUUGACCUAACAUGGCUAUGACGGGUAACGGGGAAUUAGAGUUCGAUUCCGGAGAGGGAGCCUGAGAAAUAGCUACCACAUCUAAGGAAGGCAGCAGGCGCGUAAAUUACCCAAUUCUAAAAAAGAGAGGUAGUGACAAGAAAUAACAAUACAAUAUCGAAAAAUGAUUUUGUAAUUGGAAUGAUAGGAAUUUACAAGGUUCCUAGAGAAACAAUUGGAGGGCAAGUCUGGUGCCAGCAGCCGCGGUAAUUCCAGCUCCAAUAGCAUAUAUUAAAAUUGUUGCAGUUAAAACGUUCGUAGUUGAAUAUUNNNNNNNNNNNNNNNNNNNNNNNNNNNNNNAAUUCCAGCUCCAAUAGCAUAUAUUAAAAUUGUUGCAGUUAAAACGUUCGUAGUUGAAUAUUAAAGAAUCCGAUGUUUCAUUUAAACUGGUUUGGGAAAACCAAAUAUAUUAUAUAUUUUGCUUUGUUCAAAAUAAGGUUUUCUAAUAAAUUAUGUUUUUAUCAGAUAUGACAGAAUCUUUUUUAAAAUCUCUUCAAUAUGCUUUUAUUGCUUUUGAGAGGUUUUGUUACUUUGAGUAAAAUUAAGUGUUCAUAACAGACGGGUAGUCAUGAUUGAGUUCAUUGUGUUUGAAUACUACAGCAUGGAAUAACAAAUAUGAAUAAGCUAAUUAUUUUUUUUUUUCAUAAUUUUUUUUGAUAUUCUUAUUAGCUUAGUUACGAUUAAUAGGAGUAGCUUUGGGGGCAUUCGUAUUCAGAUGUCAGAGGUGAAAUUCUAAGAUUUUCUGGAGACGGACUACUGCGAAAGCAUUUGCCUAAUCUAUUUCCAUUAAUCAAGAACGAAAGUUAAGGGAGUGAAGACGAUCAGAUACCGUCGUAAUCUUAACCAUAAACUAUACCGACUAGGUGUUGGAUGAAUAUAAAAAAUAUAUAAAUAUGUAGCAUUUCUUAGGGAAUGUUGAUUUUAUAUUAGAAUUGCUUCCUUCAGUACCUUAUGAGAAAUCAAAGUCUUUGGGUUCUGGGGCGAGUAUUCGCGCAAGCGAGAAAGUUAAAAGAAUUGACGGAAGGGCACCACCAGGCGUGGAGCUUGCGGCUUAAUUUGGACUCAACACGGGGAAAACUCACUAGUUUAAGACAAGAGUAGGAUUGACAGAUUAAUAGCUCUUUCUUGAUUUCUUGGAUGGUGAUGCAUGGCCGUUUUUAGUUCGUGAAUAUGAUUUGUCUGGUUAAUUCCGAUAACGAACGAGAUCUUAACCUGCUAAUUAGCGGUAAGUACACUAUAUUUUUAUUUGAAAUUGAAUAUAGGUAAUUAUACAUGUUUAUUCAGUGUUCAAAUUAGGAUAUUUUUUUAUUAAAAUAUUCUUUUCCCUGUUCUACUAUAAUAAUUUGUUUUUUUUUACUCUAUUUCUCUCUUCUUUUAAGAAUGUACUUGUUUGAUUAAAUAAAGCUUCUUAGAGGAACAGUGUGUAUCUAACACAAGGAAGUUUAAGG